rnacentral:rRNA from 1 species
GACGAACGCUGGCGGCGUGCUUAACACAUGCAAGUCGAACGGAAAGGCCCUGCUUGCAGGGUACUCGAGUGGCGAACGGGUGAGUAACACGUGGGUGAUCUGCCCUGCACUUCGGGAUAAGCUUGGGAAACUGGGUCUAAUACCGGAUAGGACCGCACUUUAGUGUGUGUGGUGGAAAGUUUUUUCGGUGUAGGAUGAGCUCGCGGCCUAUCAGCUUGUUGGUGGGGUAAUGGCCUACCAAGGCGGCGACGGGUAACCGGCCUGAGAGGGUGUACGGCCACAUUGGGACUGAGAUACGGCCCAGACUCCUACGGGAGGCAGAAGUGGGGAAGAUUGAACAAUGGGCGCAAGCCUGAUGCAGCGACGCCGCGUGGGGGAUGAAGGCCUUCGGGUUGUAAACUCCUUUCGCUAGGGACGAAGCUUUUUGUGACGGUACCUAGAUAAGAAGCACCGGCUAACUACGUG